rnacentral:rRNA from 1 species
GCGGUGGAGCAUGUGGUUUAAUUCGAUGCAACGCGAAGAACCUUACCUGGUCUUGACAUCCACGGAAGUUUUCAGAGAUGAGAAUGUGCCUUCGGGAACCGUGAGACAGGUGCUGCAUGGCUGUCGUCAGCUCGUGUUGUGAAAUGUUGGGUUAAGUCCCGCAACGAGCGCAACCCUUAUCCUUGUUGCCAGCGGUCCGGCCGGGAACUCAAAGGAGACUGCCAGUGAUAAACUGGAGGAAGGUGGGGAUGACGUCAAGUCAUCAUGGCCCUUACGACCAGGGCUACACACGUGCUACAAUGGCGCAUACAAAGAGAAGCGACCUCGCGAGAGCAAGCGGACCUCAUAAAGUGCGUCGUAGUCCGGAUUGGAGUCUGCAACUCGACUCCAUGAAGUCGGAAUCGCUAGUAAUCGUGGAUCAGAAUGCCACGGUGAAUACGUUCCCGGGCCUU